rnacentral:rRNA from 1 species
CCCUUAGAUGUUCUGGGCCGCACGCGCGCUACACUGAUGCAUUCAACGAGCCUAUCCUUGACCGACAGGUCCGGGUAAUCUUUGAAUCUGCAUCGUGACGGGGAUAGAUUAUUGCAAUUAUUGAUCUUCAACGAGGAAUGCCUAGUAGGCGCAAGUCAUCAGCUUGCGUCGAUUACGUCCCUGCCCUUUGUACACACCGCCCGUCGCUCCUACCGAUUGGGUGUGCUGGUGAAAUGUUCGGAUCGGCCGUUUGUCGCGGUUUCCGCGUCAUGUGGCUGAGAAGUUCAUUAAACCCUCCCACCUAGAGGAAGGAGAAGUCGUAACA